rnacentral:tRNA from 1 species
GGAUUGUGGCUCAGUGGCAGAGUGCUUGCCUCACACAUGUGAGGCACUGAGUUCAAUCCUCAGCACCA